rnacentral:rRNA from 1 species
CUGGCGGCACGCCUAACACAUGCAAGUCGAGCGCUUCACUUCGGUGAGGAGCGGCGGACGGGUUAGUAACGCGUGGGAACAUACCCUUUUCUAAGGAAUAGCCACUGGAAACGGUGAGUAAUACCUNNUACGCCCUUCGGGGGAAAGAUUUAUCGGUGAAGGAUUGGCCCGCGUUAGAUUAGAUAGUUGGUGGGGUAAUGGCCUACCAAGUCUACGAUCUAUAGCUGGUUCGAGAGGAUGAUCAGCAACACUGGGACUGAGACACGGCCCAGACUCCUACGGGAGGCAGCAGUGGGGAAUCUUAGACAAUGGGCGCAAGCCUGAUCUAGCGAUGCCGCGUGAGUGAUGAAGGCCUUAGGGUCGUAAAGCUCUUUCGCCAGGGAUGAUAAUGACAGUACCUGGUAAAGAAACCCCG